rnacentral:rRNA from 1 species
UACGUAGGGGGCUAGCGUGGUCCGGAUUUAUUGGGCGUAAAGAGCGUGUAGGCGGCCAGGUAGGUCUGGUGUGAAAACUCGAGGCUUAACCUCGAGAUGUCAUCGGAAACCAUCUGGCUAGAGUCCGGAAGAGGAGAGUGGAAUUCCUGGUGUAGCGGUGAAAUGCGCAGAUAUCAGGAAGAACACCAAUGGCGAAGGCAGCUCUCUGGGACGGUACUGACGCUGAGACGCGAAAGCGUGGGGAGCGAACAGG